rnacentral:tRNA from 1 species
AUGAAAAAUUGCAUUUUUGGAAUUUGCAAUAAUGCGAUGGGCGAACGACGGGAAUUGAACCCGCGCAUGGUGGAUUUACAAUCCACUGCCUUAAUCCACUUGGCUACAUCCGCCCCUUAUCAAGCUAAAGGAUUUUUUCUUUUUUCCAUUGAUCAUUAUUCUAUUAAUUCUGACCUCUGUACUUCGAUCGAGAUAUUGGACAUAGAAUGGCACUCUUUAAAAAGGAAAAAAAGGAGUAAUCAGCUGUGA